rnacentral:lncRNA from 1 species
CUGUGCCACUUUCAAACUGUUUGCAGUUUCAUCCAUCAUCAUUUGCCUAUCAAACCGAUAACGAUAUGCCGCAGGACAUUUCCCACCAGUCUUUUGCUGUACCAUCUUCGUAGGUAUCCUUGGCUGCCUGCCCAAAACGAUCUCAAAUGGACUCUUCUCCGUGGAUGAAGACUUGUGCAAGUUGUAAGACAUCUGUGCAUAAUCUAAUAACUCACCCCAAUUUCGUUGACUCGCAGUCACGAAAUGCCUCAAGUACUCUUCUAGCAGAUGAUUGAUUCGUUCGGUUUGGCCAUCAGUUUGGGGAUGGUUCGCCGUUGAAAACAUCAAAUUUGUACCCAACAAAUGGAAGUGGCCAUCAGUUUGGGGUUGGUUUGCCGUUGAAAACUUCAAAUUCGUACCCAGCAAAUUGAACAAGUCCAAAACCUGCUUGUGAACCUUGCAUCCCGAUCACUAAUAACAUCCUCUGUCAUACCGAAAUGUUUCACCACAUGCUUGAAAAACAAUUCUGCAGCAACUUUAGAGGGACAUUCCGUUGGGGUAGCUAUAAAGACAGCAUAUUUCGAGAACCUGUCGACCACCACCAUAAUCGAAGAUAGACCAUUGGCUUUAGGAAACCCACUUGGCUUUAGGAAACCCACUGAUAAAAUCCAUUGAAACGGAUUGCCACGUCUCUUCAGGAAUUGGCAAAGGUUGCAACAACCCAGCUUCUUUCUUCCGUUCAGUUUUACCAAGUUGACAAACAAGACAACUUUUCACAUAAGCUUCAACGUCUUGUUCCAUCUUUGGC